CAAGUAAUAACAUGGAUAAGACAAUAAAAACCUCUAUCCUGUGACCCUUGCCCAGGUGAGGACCUUGCUCGAAAGACCGCUAGGAAGGGGCUCCAUCCCAACUCGAGAAAGGGGCGCUCGGCAACAAGACUAUAGCAAGAAGAGGAAACCCCCCCGUGGAACAAGUCCUCCAGGAGGAAAGAAGACCGAAGGCCACCUGGGAUGCUGCCAAUGGGAAUGGAUAUGGAUUACUUGGAGCCGAACGCAGGGCGUGAAUAGAACGAUAGGUGACGCACUUUCUAAAAGAGUACCUUUCUAUCUGCAGACUCUAAGAGCUAGAAGGAGGAGGACUCCCAAUCCGGAUAAAAGAUCGCACAUCAGAAUCCCAGAAUAGAAGACCGGCGGGAUCAAUCUGAUUCGCGCUUGAUUAUGCUCAAAACAGAAGGCCAAGGAAACUCGACCUCUUAAAGGGCGGGGAAGAAGAUAAGUGAAUUAUGAUGGAUGUAAUUGAAGAGCGGCGGGAUUAACCAUAGCGGUGAAGUAUAACCGCCAGCUUGGUAUUUUCAUAUUCCAGAAAAUAAAAGGAAAACGCAAAGGGAUUGGAGUGUGGGGUAGCAAGUUUUUCUCCCUGGUUUUUUUCACACGCUUCUGCGAAUUGCAUCCAACAGUUGGGAAGACAAGUUGAGACAUUCAGAGGCAAGUUCACAUGUACAUUGCCAUAGCAAAGAAAAAUAUGGAUGCUCCUUCACGAUCAUCAUCUAUCACAGUUCGUUGUUUUCUGGUCUAUUUUCUUUGCAAAAAGAAUGAAUAAUGAUCGCCAAAUCUCUCUAGUUGGGGCAGGGCUGAUGUAAGGUACGCGGUGGUGAUUAACAAUCAGUAUAAACCAAGGCAUGACAAUACUUUCAUAUUAUUUGAAAGACAAGUUGAGAUAUUCAAAGGGAAAUUCACAUCCAUAACCAUAGCAAGGAAAGUCAUCAAAGAAGGAAAAUUGGGGUAGGUGAUGAUGAUGAUCUUUCAACAUCUGCCCCAUUAAACCGCCCGCCCAAUUCAGAUUUCAAAUAUUUUGCCAGGAUGAACGAAAAGAAGAAGAAAACUCUCACAGUCAAUAAGAAGAAGAAGAAAUUAUCAACAGGAGGAAGUCACUAAAGCUGAUAUUUUUACACCAACACAUAAAUAUUAGGUCUGCACAUCUACCUAAAACUAGGUUCACUAGUUUUGAAAUUCUACUACGUUAACAACAACAUAAUAUAUAACAACAGCAACAUGAGUUAUCCA